rnacentral:ncRNA from 1 species
GGGGGAGUAUGAUUGCAAGGCUGAAACUUAAAGGAAUUGAUGGAAGGGCACCACUAGGUGUGGAGCCUGUGGCUUAAUUUGACUCAACACAGAGAAACUCACCAGGUCCAGACAUGACUAGGAUUGACAGAUUGAUAGCUCUUUCAUGAUUUUAUGGGUGGUGGUGCAUGGCUAUUCUUAGUUGGUAGAGUGAUUUGUCUGGUUAAUUCCGAUAAUAAAUGAGACCUUAACCUGCUAAAUAGUCAGGCCAGCUUUUGCUGGUCACAGGCUUCUUAGAGGGACUGUCAGUGUCUAGCUGAUGGAAGUUUGAGGCAAUAACAGGUCUGUGAUGCCCUUAGAUGUUCUGGGCUGCAUGUGUGCUACACUGACAGAGCCAGUGAGUUUUUCACCUUGGCCAGAAGGUCUGGGUAAUCUUGUGAAACUCUGUCAUGCUGGGGAUAGAGCAUUGCUAUUAUUGCUCUUCAACAAGGAAUACCUAGUAAGCAUGAGUUAUCAGCUCGCAUUAAUUACAUUCCUACCCUUUGUACACACUGCCCGUCACUACUACUGAUUGAAUGGCUUAGUAAGGUCUCUGGAUUGGCUUUGGGGAGCUGGCAACAGCACUCUAUUGCUGAGAAGCUGAUCAAACUUGGUCAUUUAGAGGAAGUAAAAGUUGUAACAAGGUUUCUGUAGGUGAACCUGCAGAAG